rnacentral:lncRNA from 1 species
CCGAGCACCCGCCCCCGUCACGUGGCAAGUCUGCGUGGAAAGGACAGUUACAGACGUUCCACGUUCCGUCUCCCUGUGCCAGCCCUCAGGACCUGAGCAGCGGCCUUGCCGUAGCCUAUGUGCUGAACCAGAUAGACCCCUCCUGGUUCAACGAGGCAUGGCUCCAGGGCAUCUCGGAAGAUCCAGGUCCCAACUGGAAGCUGAAGGUGACAAGUGGACUCCUGAUUAGAGGACAGACUGGUGAAGAGAUGACCAGGGACGGGCCAGCUAGGCACAUGUCCUGGGUGAUGGGCAGGAAGAGGGACAGAUGUCUGGUGAUCAACCAUUUGUUCAUCCAUUCAUCUAUGGAGUACUCACCCUGUGCCAGGCCUGGGCAUUCAGCAAGGAAUAACACAGACAAAAACCUGCCCCACACAGCCAUCAUUCUAGUGACAAGCAACACAUACACAACCAUAAAAAUUAACUUCCAGGCUGGGCGCAGUGGCUCAUGCCUGUAAUCCCAACACUUUGAGAGGCUAAAGUGGGUGGAUCACCUGGGGCCAGGAGUUCAAGACCAGCCUGGCCAACAAGUUGAAACCCCAUCUCUACUAAAAAUACAAAAAUUAGCUGGGUGGGGUGGUGUGCACCUGUAAUCCCAGUUACUUGGGAGGCUGAGACAUGAGAAUCACUUGAACCUGGGAGGUGGAGGAUGCAGUGAGCUGAGAUUGAGCCAUUGCACUCCAGCCUGGGCAACAGAGCGAGACUCUUGUCUCAAGAAGAAGAAAAAAAGAAAAAGAAAAAGAAAAAGAAAAAACUUUUGAUGCCAGUAGUUCUGUGAAGACAACAAAAAAGCAGGGCUUUGAGAGAGAGCAAUGAGGGCAUAGGUGGCUGAUUACAUCAGAUGGGUUAAUCUCCAAGUGAAAUUUGGGGGAACGGUGUUCCAGGCAUAGGGAAUAGCAGAUGUAAAGGCCGUGAUUUGGGAAUAAACUUGGUGUGAUGGAGGAAUGGCAGAGAGGGCAGAACAGAGCAAGAGGGCAAGAUUUGUAGGAGAUGAGGUCAUCAGGGGCCUGGCAGGCCAUGGUGGGGGUGUGGAUUCUAUUUUUAAGUGCUGUGGAAAGUCAAGGCAGGGUUUUAGCAGAGCAAAGAUGCAACCUGGCUUGGGCUUUAUAAAGCUCCCCCUGGCUGCAUGGAGAGAAAUAAAAUGUAGGCAGCAAAAGUGGAAGAGGAGAGGCAGCUGGUGCACUAAUCCAGGUGAGAGGUAAAGAUGGAUGGGUAGGGCUGAAGGAUGGUGGGGCAGGUGGUGAGAAGUGACUUGGUUCUGGAGACAUAUGAAGGAAGAUGGUCAGGCAGGCCGGGCACAGUGGCUCAUGCCUGUAAUCCCAGCAAUUUUAGAGGCUGAGGUGGGAGGAUUGCUUGAGCUCAGGAGCUUGAGACCAGCCUGGGCUACAUAGCAAAACCUCCUCUCUACAAAUAAAAAAAAGUAGUCGAUUGUGGUGGCAUAUGCCUGUAGUCCCAGCUACUGGGAGGCAGAGAUAGGAGGAUUGCUUGACCCCAGGAGGUCGAG